UGGGGGAUAUUGCACAAUGGGGGGAACCCUGAUGCAGCGACGCCGCGUGAAGGAAGAAGUAUCUCGGUAUGUAAACUUCUAUCAGCAGGGAAGAAAAUGACGGUACCUGACUAAGAAGCCCCGGCUAACUACGUGCCAGCAGCCGCGGUAAUACGUAGGGGGCAAGCGUUAUCCGGAUUUACUGGGUGUAAAGGGAGCGUAGGCGGCAGUGCAAGUCAGAAGUGAAAGCCCGGGGCUCAACUCCGGGACUGCUUUUGAAACUGUACAGCUUGAUUGCAGGAGAGGCAAGUGGAAUUCCUAGUG
rnacentral:rRNA from 1 species